GGGGGGGACCUUGAUGCCAUAAAGAAUGGAGGUAGUGAACUUCUUCUAUCAAUCUCUGCUCAUCGUAAGGAAUCACCGGAAAACGUGACAUUCUUGACUAUUUGAGCAGAAGGGCUUUGGUUGCUACUGUUUAAAUGCCGGGGAAUCGCCGGAAAAUGAAGGGCUCAGAGCGAUAUCUCCGAUUCCGGUGAAGAAAAAUGGUUUCUUGGCGGCAGAAACCGGGAACUGAGAAAGGGAUUUCGG
rnacentral:misc_RNA from 1 species